rnacentral:rRNA from 1 species
GUAGGGUGCGAGCGUUAAUCGGAAUUACUGGGCGUAAAGCGUGCGCAGGCGGUUAUGUAAGACAGAUGUGAAAUCCCCGGGCUCAACCUGGGAACUGCAUUAGUGACUGCAUAGCUGGAGUACGGCAGAGGGGGAUGGAAUUCCGCGUGUAGCAGUGAAAUGCGUAGAUAUGCGGAGGAACACCGAUGGCGAAGGCAAUCCCCUGGGCCUGUACUGACGCUCAUGCACGAAAGCGUGGGGAGCAAACAGGAUUAGAUACCCUGGUAGUCCACGCCCUAAACGAAGUCAACUGGUUGUUGGGUCUUCACUGACUCAGUAACGAAGCUAACGCGUGAAGUUGACCGCCUGGGGAGUACGGCCGCAAGGUUG